AAUGACAUGUAAAAUAACCUUGUUUCUAAUUUAAAUUAAAAAAAUUGAGAGAAAAAAAUAUAACAUAAAAAAAAGAACUGGUGAGUUUUGAAGUAUACAUGUACAUUUAAUUUGAGUCUGUGGUAAAGGAGACCUGGGCUUUGAAAGGGGCACAGUAUGUGAGAUGUUGAGGGCUGUUGUCACUAAAGGAGUAGACAUGUCUUUGUGGCAGAGUUGUUGCUUGACAUUGUUCAGAGCAGGUAUGGUUUCUUGGUCCCAUAUUACUAAGAAGGUGUUUUCAUUUGGGGAUGUAAACGAAUAUAAUGAAUUAUAAAAGGAGUUUUCACUCUAUACAUAUAUUAAAUAGACAGAUAGAAGGACAGAGAUCUGUCUGCCUCCUCAGAGAGAUGGCGGAAAGAGAGAGCAGGUACGAUUUUAACAGAGCAAAUGCUUGGAAAAAAAUAAUACAUAGUUUGGCCUGUUCUGCAGAGGAAUGUACCCAUUGGUAGCUCUGAACUAUGUGACAAUGUAUUGGGAAGUGGUGACUAUUUGACAUGGAACUAAGAGAGAGGAGGAGCAAUCUCCAGUAUUCUCCAGGACAGUAGGGUACUGUAGUUUAAAACAAUUGUAAUCCCUAUUUCACAGAGAACAGAAAAGAGGAGUUUGAGAGAACCCAACACAAAGAAGUGAUGUUUCAAGCAGAUAAUUAUUACAGUGAUUGGUCAGUAUGCAUUGUAUAUAUGUAUUUAGUUAUACCUGUAUCCCAUAAAUCUGUUUAAUUAUCAUAUGCUUACUAAAAUACUUUGAGAAAUAUUGUCUUAUGGUUCUACGAAUACCAGCCUAAAAUGUCAUGGGGCAGCAUGAUUUCCAGAAGCUCUUUCCAGGGAGGGGAACAACUCAACUACCUUGUCCUCAUUUUAAGCUUUUUGUCAAAUGGCAUCGCAGAGGCUUUUUGGUGACCAGUUGUGGUCAUUCUCAGAGGCAGCUUUGUGACUUUAGAGUAGUUUCCAGCCUGUAAUGAUUCUGUAUUCUUGUUCUUAUUUACUAAUUCUUUGUGGACCUUGGAACAAUGCAAGUUUUAUGGGGGCAUGGGGUUGUCUGGUUUUAAUUGUACCAACAAUAUUUAGAAUAAUGAUAGAGUCAAGGCAGGUGGAUUUGUGAAUUCAAGUCCAUCCUGGUCUACAAAAUGAAUUCCAG
rnacentral:lncRNA from 1 species